GUAGCUGAGCUGAAGAAGCAGUUUCACAAAGCCAGCCAGUUAAGUGAAAAAAUAACUGGUGCCAAAGGAUCGAAGCUAGAUGAAGAAUUUCUGGACAUAGAAAAGAAAAUAUAUAUUACCAGUAAAGCUGUUGCAGAAAUUCUUUCAAAAGCCACAGAGUAUCUCUAGCCCAUUCCAGCAUACAGAGCUAAGCUAGGAAUGCUGAACACUGUGUCAAAGCUCCAAGGGCAGGUGAAGGCCACUGGCUAUCCACAGACAGAAGACAUGCUGGGGGACUUCAUGCUGAAGUAUGACAAGGAGCUCGGAGAAGACUCUGCUUUUGGCAACUCAUUACUAGAAGCUGGUGAGGCCCUGAAACAUGGCUGAGGUGAAAGACUCUCUGGAUAUUAAUGUGAAGCAAACUUUUAUUGACCCACUGCAGCUACUGCAAGACAAAGAUUUAAAAGAGAUUGGGCACCACCUGAGAAAGCUGGCAGGCCACCGCUUGGAUUAUGAUUAUAAAAAGCUUCGGGUAGGUAAGAUCCCCAAGGAAGAAAUAAGACAAGCACUAGAGAAGUUCGAAGUCAAAGGAGUUGGCCGAAAGAAGCAUGUUUAAUUCUUUAGAAAAUAAUGUAGAGCAAGUGAGCCAACUGGCUGUGUUUGUAGAGGCAGCAUUAGACUAUCACAGGCAGUUCACAGAGAUUCUCCAGGAACUGCAGAGCAAGCUGGAGCUGAGAAUAGCUCUUGCAUCCAAAGUCCCCAAGCAAGAAUUCAUACCAAGCCUGUGAACACGAGUUCCACCGAUGCCAAUGGGGUCGGACCCAGCUCUUCAUCAAAGAUGACAGGUACUUACACUCCCUCGGACCAGCCCUGCUCUCAUGGUCUCUAUGACUUUGAGCCAGAAAAUGAAGGAGAAUUAGGAUUU
rnacentral:lncRNA from 1 species